GCCACACUUGCACCAUAUGGAAGUUCCCAGGCUAGGGGUCAACUUUGUAAGUCAACUAUAUUAUAAUAAAUUUUUUUAAAUAAUAAUAAUUACCCUUUUUGGCUUAAGCUCACUAAGCUGGUUCCUUUUCACCUAAAAUCAAGAAAUCCUAAUUAUGCAUAUGGGGAUUAGAAUAUAUUUCAGAAGUUCCCGUCGUGGCGCAGUGGUUAACGAAUCUGACUAGGAACCAUGAGGUUGCGGGUUCGGUCCCUGCCCUUGCUCAGUGGGUUAACGAUCUGGCGUUGCCGUGAGCUGUGGUGUAGGUCGCAGACGCGGCUCGGAUCCUGCGUUGCUGUGGCUGUGGUGUAGGCCGGCAGCUACAGCUCCAAUUCGACCCCUAGCCUGGGAACUUUUCAUAUGCCACAGGCGCAGCCAUUUAAAAAAAAAAGAAGAAGAAGAAGCAGCACUAAGCUGUAAAGAAAAAAAGACGAUAACUGACAAAAUUUUAAACUUUUGCACAAUAAUAGAUACUCUAAACAAGGUUUUAAAAAAGCAGAUUACAGUGGAAGAAAAUGAUUUUGCUAUACCUCAAAACAUGAAAAGUUAUACAUAACAUAUACGAAUUAACAAAAACUAUGGAAAAAUGGUCAAGGAUUAACAGCAGGCAAUUUGGAAAGAAAAAAAUAGAAACACACCAAAUGUAAACCAAAGUUCAGGAUAAUUUGUUUAAAACUUCAUUACUGUGCAUUAUCAUCUAUUUCCUCUUAUGCCCUUUAGUCUUAAAAGAGUAUAGAAGCUAAUCAAGUUGGUCACAUGGGACCCUGGGGUACCAGAGCUGAGCGCAGACUUUCAUUUUUCUGCCCCUCAUGCUUUUUUCUGAGGACAGUCAGCAGCAGCGUUUUCCUCCUGAGCAACUGCACAUUUAUGAAAUGAUCUGAAGACGUAUCAGCAGUGUUAACUGUCAAACAUCUUAAACAAUCAGGAUUCCAUGAUAAAAUUUUUAUCUCAUAUCCCUUCAGUGAGCAUAAGCAUAGCUUAUGGGGACCAUCAGAAACAUUUUAAAUUAAUUCCUUUAAAAUUGAAAAAAAAAAAGAAAAAAGGAAUAUGAAUAACAUUUGCUUGUAAUUGCCAAAAGUAUUGUUCUACCAUUAAAAUGGGGAGGUGUUAGCUUAAACACAUUCUUCCCAUUAAAUGAGUCAAUAUUUUACUCCCUCCCCCCAAAUGCCACAGGUAUUUCAUGCAUUAUUCAUACAUUACAUUGAAGAAAUUGAUUAUUAUUGAAGCUGCACCUAGAAAACGAAUGUGAAUUAAAAUAUUCAGUAACUCUUUUAAUUUCAAGUUAUAUCUAAAUUCCAGAAAGCCACAAUACUAAUGCAGUUAUUAGAUUUUACUUUUACACAUUUCCUGAGAAUUACAUUUUUAACAGAUUCCAGGGCAAAAUGUUUUUACUAAAAAAAGAAAGUAAACCAAAAUGCCAUCUAACAUUUCCCUUCAAGAAGCAUUUCACCAUGGGUGUUUUAAAAGACAUAUUUCAGCUUUGAUCAAGGAAUAAAAAGCAGAUGAAUUAACAAACAUAUGACAAAGGUCAGAAGCAAAGCGUGAGGGGAAAACACUCUCAUUCCCAAUGCAUGUGCUCUUUUAAGUACAAUGAAGAACAAGCUGUUGGGUUUGGGCAGUUAGUAUCAGGAGAAUCCUCUUUACUAUUCAGAGCGCCAUCAAAAUCAUGCAUGCUUUACGCACCAUACACCUGCAUCUCAACAUCCGGACUAGUUCUAAUAACUCUAUUUAUUUAAAAAAAAAUUCUGAAGUUCCCGUCGUGGCUCAGUGGUUAACAAAUCCGACUAGGAACCAUGAGGUUGUGGGUUUGAGCCCUGGCCUCACUCCGUGGGUGAAGGAUCCGGCGUUGCCGGGAGCUGUGGUGUGGGUAGCAGACGCGACUGGGGUCUGGUGUUGCUGUGGCUGUGGCGAAGGCCAAGAGGCUACAGCUCCGAUUCGACCCCUAGCCUGGGAACCUCCAUACGCGGUGGGCACAGCCCUAGAAAAUAAAAAAAUAAAAAAAAAUAAAAAAAAAAAUUCUAAUGUUUAAAAGUUCGUGAAAAUGGAAAGCUUUGUUUUUAAGAUCAAAUCAUUAGCACUGGGCUUAAGAAAUCCCAAGGCAAUUUGUAACAUGCAUAUGGCACAAUCAGCUCACUGGCAGAGAACCGAUAUGCAACCUAAGAUUGCUGUGUUUGUUUUUCUUGGAGGAAGAGAGGAGGCUAGGUGGUAUUUAAAGGCAUGUGAUGGGAGUUCCCGUCGUGGCGCAGUGGUUAACAACCGACUAGGAACCAUGAGGUUGCGGGUUCGGUCCCUGCCCUUGCUCAGUGGGUUAACGAUCCGGCGUUGCGGUGAGCUGUGGUGUAGGUUGCAGACGCGGCUUGGAUACCGCGUUGCUGUGGCUCUGGCAUAGGCCGGAGGCUACAGCUCCGAUUCGACCCCUAGCCUGGGAACCUCCACAUGCCACGGAGCGGCCCAAAGAAAUAGCAAAAAAAGACAAAAAAUAAAUAAAUAAAGGCAUGUGAUGACCACAACACUCUGAGGAAGUCAGGCUGAAUAAAAUGUGUGUUGUUUAUGGUGAAAGGAUGGGUCGCUCGCUGCCUCUAUGGUCAGUUAACUGUUUUAGGUUAGCUGCUCUCCUCUGAAGGGCUAGAUGAGCAACACUGGGGCGAGAGGCACUUACAAAGUCCCAAGAAGGCCCAUCCUCUAGCUGCCUAACAGCUCCUUUUUCUCUGAUUUAACGGCAUUCGCACUCCCUCCCUCACUGCUUGAACAGAGGGAAGCAGGAAGCCUCUGAGAAAGCCCCUCGCAGGGAGCUCAAUCCAGUCCUUAGGGAUCGAGAACACUUCCUUGCUGGCUUGGCGCCUUUCCUUUUCACUUCUGCCCACUCCGGAUGCCCCCAAGACCAAGACCAAGUCUUCAGGCCUCUGCACUUGAAUCCAACCACUCUCUCAGCAUUUCCGUCAUCGUUUCCAUCAACACCCACAAAAAAAUACUCCACGAGGGCCUUAUCCCCCUCGUGUGAAUAGCCCCAUAAUUCCUCCCAAAGCGGUUCAUUCCUACCAUAAUGCCUCCUCCGUAGGUCUUCAGCGUUUAAGUAAAAAGGCUCCUCUUACACACCGAAACUCCUCCUUACUGUGGUGCUUCUUAUUUUGUUUCUUCCAAAAGCUAACAUGGUACAUCCUUAUUAAAUGUAAAGCUGG
rnacentral:lncRNA from 1 species